rnacentral:rRNA from 1 species
CCUACGGGAGGCAGCAGUGGGGAAUAUUGCGCAAUGGGCGAAAGCCUGACGCAGCCAUGCCGCGUGUGUGAAGAAGGCCUUCGGGUUGUAAAGCACUUUUAGUGGGGAGGAAAGGGCGCUGGCUAAUAUCCAGUGCAGUUGACGCUACCCACAGAAAAAGCACCGGCUAAUUCCGUGCCAGCAGCCGCGGUAAU